rnacentral:rRNA from 1 species
AUCUAGGAGCGUGCCUCAGAAUGCAAGUCGAACGAUUAAGACUUCCUUCGGGAAGUGCAUAAAGUGGCGCACGGGUGAGUAACACGUAAGUAAUCUACCCUCGAGUGGGGAAUAACGUUCGGAAACGGACGCUAAUACCGCAUAACGCAGCGGCACCGCAAGGUGACAGUUGUUAAAGGAGCAAUCCGCUUGAGGAGGAGCUUGCGGCAGAUUAGCUAGUUGGUAGGGUAAUGGUUUACCAAGGCUACGAUCUGUAUCCGGUCUAAGAGGACGGUCGGACACACUGACACUGAAUAACGGGUCAGACUCCUACGGGAGGCAGCAGUCGGGAAUUUUGGGCAAUGGGCGAAAGCCUGACCCAGCAACGCCGCGUGAAGGAUGAAGUAUUUCGGUAUGUAAACUUCGAAAGAAUAGGAAGAAUAAAUGACGGUACUAUUUAUAAGCUCCGGCUAACUACGUGCCAGCAGCCGCGGUAAUACGUAGGGAGCAAGCGUUGUUCGGAUUUACUGGGCGUAAAGGGCGCGUAGGCGGCGCGGUAAGUCACUUGUGAAAUCUCUGAGCUUAACUCAGAACGGCCAAGUGAUACUGCAGUGCUAGAGUGCAGAAAGGGCAAUCGGAAUUCUUGGUGUAGCGGUGAAAUGCGUAGAUAUCAGGAGGAACACCUGAGGCGAAGGCGGGUUGCUAGGCUGACACUGACGCUGAGGCGCGAAAGCCAGGGGAGCAAACGGGAUUAGAUACCCCGGUAGUCCUGGCCCUAAACGAUGAAUACUUGGUGUCUGGAGUUUCAAUACUCCGGGUGCCGUCG